rnacentral:rRNA from 1 species
UACGGAGGGUGCAAGCGUUAUCCGGAUUCACUGGGUUUAAAGGGUGCGUAGGCGGCUAGGUAAGUCCGGGGUGAAAUCCUGCAGCUUAACUGCAGAACUGCCAUGGAUACUAUUUAUCUUGAAUGUCGUGGAGGUUAGCAGAAUAUGUCAUGUAGCGGUGAAAUGCUUAGAGAUGACAUAGAAUACCCAUUGCGAAGGCAGCUAACUACGCGAUAAUUGACGCUCAUGCACGAAAGCGUGGGGAUCAAACAGG